AUGGAUCACUCUGGGGAGAGGAUGUCCGCACCCACGCCCACGCUCCUGCGGCGCGCUACUCCGGCGGCCGCAGCCACCGCCGCCGCUGCUGCCCCGCUCCAGAUCAGCCCGCAGGCCAGCCCCCCGUUGUCCCCGCUCCUCCCGCCGGGCUUUCCGUGGCCUCUCGUGCGGCGAGGCACUCCUGCCGACCCGUGUCCGCCGCUGCUGGCACCGUGCUUAUCAGAUCUGGGUUCGCCGCCACGGCGACCCGCUUCCUCUGAUCCCUCCUACGUCGCUGACUCCCAGCUGGCGACCUCCGAUGCGGAGGGAGGCGAGGUUCUGCAGCGCUCGGUUUGCUUUGCCUUGAAUGCUGUCGUGCUGGAUUCAACUCCUCCCCUCCCCAUUCAAGGCGCGCACAGGCCAUGCCUCAAGACUGCUCCUGCAGGCGCCUUCAAGAGCUGCCGGCGUCCGACGCGGACGUCGCGUCGCUCGAGUCCCGAGCCUGCCGCGUCUCCCGGCGUCUACUCCGAGGAUGGUUGGCAACUCGUCAAGGCGCCGUACUGGUGGCGUGCGCUGCCCAGCUACCAGCAUUCAAAGCAGAGGAGGGUCUCUGCUUCUUAUUCCCCUUCAACGGGAAGAAGUUUCGUCCACCACCGCUUCCGCACCUGCCAUCGAUGCCUCGAGGUCGGCCACUGCAAAAUUGACUGCCGAAAUCCUUUUAGGUGCCGGACGUGCAAGCAGUGUGGCCACCGCGCCCGUGACUGCAACGCCUCACCCGUCCCCUCGCCCUCGCUCUCACCAGCUGCGUCGACCGCAUCGCCGAGGUCUCCACCGACCUGUGCCGCUCCGCCUCGGUCGCCAGAGUCUUCACCGACCCAAGCCUCGCCGCCCACCGCGAUGCCGCUCGUUGGAGACCCAUCGUUGCGCCCUGAGGAGGGGCAUGUGGUCAUCACCUCCACCUAG
rnacentral:rRNA from 1 species